CAACUAACGUUACGACCUGACAUUAAAGGUGCUGUAGGUAGGAUUGUAAAGCUCCAGGACUUAGCCAAAGAAUUUGAACAUCGACAACUUCUCAGUCCCUCCCCCCUUUCUGCUACAGCCCAAAACAGUCUCCUAAGCCACUUCCCC